CGUACACUCCUACGGGAGGCAGCAGUGGGGAAUAUUGGACAAUGGGCGCAAGCCUGAUCCAGCCAUGCCGCGUGAGUGAUGAAGGCCCUAGGGUUGUAAAGCUCUUUCACCGGUGAAGAUAAUGACGGUAACCGGAGAAGAAGCCCCGGCUAACUUCGUGCCAGCAGCCGCGGUAAUACGAAGGGGGCUAGCGUUGUUCGGAUUUACUGGGCGUAAAGCGCACGUAGGCGGACUAUUAAGUCAGGGGUGAAAUCCCGGGGCUCAACCCCGGAACUGCCUUUGAUACUGGUAGUCUUGAGUGCGAGAGAGGUGAGUGGAAUUCCGAGUGUAGAGGUGAAAUUCGUAGAUAUUCGGAGGAACACCAGUGGCGAAGGCGGCUCACUGGCUCGAUACUGACGCUGAGGUGCGAAAGCGUGGGGAGCAAACAGGAUUAGAAACCCCGGUAGUCCCA
rnacentral:rRNA from 1 species